GACGAACGCUGGCGGCGUGCUUAACACAUGCAAGUCGAACGGAAAGGCCCUGCUUUUGUGGGGUGCUCGAGGGGCGAACGGGUGAGUAACACGUGAGUAACCUGCCCUUGACUGUGGGAUAACUUCAGGAAACUGGGGCUAAUACCGGAUAGGAGCUCCUGCUGCAUGGUGGGGGUUGGAAAGUUUCGGCGGUUGGGGAUGGACUCGCGGCUUAUCAGCUUGUUGGUUGGGUAGUGGCUUACCAAGGCUUUGACGGGUAGCCGGCCUGAGAGGGUGACCGGCCACAUUGGGACUGAGAUGCGGCCCAGACUCCUACGGGAGGCAGCAGUGGGGAAUAUUGCACAAUGGGCGGAAGCCUGAUGCAGCAACGCCGCGUGCGGGAUGACGGCCUUCGGGUUGUAAACCGCUUUCGCCUGUGACGAAGCGUGAGUGACGGUAAUGGGUAAAGAAGCACCGGCUAACUACGUG
rnacentral:rRNA from 1 species